rnacentral:rRNA from 1 species
GACGAACCGUGCGAACGUUGCUCGGAAUUACUGGGCGUAAAGGGCGCGUAGGCGGGAUGGCAAGUCGGUCGUGAAAUCCCUCGGCUCAACUGAGGAUCGUCGAUCGAUACUGCCGUUCUUGAGGAUUGCAGAGGAGACUGGAAUUCCCGGUGUAGCGGUGAAAUGUGUAGAGAUCGGGAGGAACACCGGUGGCGAAGGCGGGUCUCUGGGCAAUUCCUGACGCUGAGGCGCGAAAGCGUGGGGAGCAAACGGG